GUUUGGGGGCUGCAGCUCUGCUGGAUUUAAGCAGUGCCCGAUGUUUUGUGGCCCUUUCAGGGCUGGAGGAGCCAUCGUGGCAGUGCCUGGGCAGGAUGAGCUGCUGCCCAGCAAACAGGGGAAACUCCAGCUCCUCCUGAGCACCACGGCUCUAACGAGACUGCUCAGCUGCCUGCAGGCAGCAGCCCCAGGGUAUCUUUCAUCCCUCCUCAGUAAGGAUGCAGAUGAUGGUCACAAGAGUAGGUUGGUGUCUGCCUUUGCUGGGAGGGACUGGCUGUGGAGGGAGGAGACAGCUCCCUAAACCAUCAGGACCCUCAGCAGUGCCAGGUGUGUCACCAAGUGCCCCCAACACCUCCCUCUCUGCACUCCCCUCACUGCAUUGCUGCCCAAGCAGGAAGGAGUCCACUUGAGACCAGAACUGAAGUUUUCAUUGCACCUGAUGCUGAUGACUGAUCAUGGAAAAGCAGGGCUCUCUGUCUGGCUGCUUCCCUGUGACAGUCCUGAAGGAAGCUACCUUCCCUUCCCUCAGUCCUGAAGGAAGUCAGGCUGGAAGCCUCUCUCACCAGUUCACAGGAAGGUAGUGCUGACUUCUGGAAACACAACGAAAUAGGGAAGGACUGUGCUGUGGUUUGCCAGAGCUCUUUUUUUCCUGAUGGACAUCCUCUUCAUUUGUUUUAGCCUUUCAAAAGCAACUUGAUGCACUCCAGGCAACGAUCCUCAUCCUUCAGCAUGUUGUCAAGGUGCUCACUGCCAGCCUUCAGCUCCAUUUCCAGAGGCACUGUGGUCAU